rnacentral:tRNA from 1 species
GUGGUAGCUCAGUUGGGUAAGCGCUCGCUUCUCACGCCAGAGAUUCGGGUUCAAAUCCCAACCCAGAAAUG